rnacentral:rRNA from 1 species
UACGGAGGGUGCGAGCGUUGUCCGGAAUCACUGGGCGUAAAGGGCGCGUAGGCGGCUUCUCAAGCGUGUGGUGAAAGUCCGGGGCUCAACCCCGGAUCGGCCGUGCGGACUGGGGAGCUCGAGUUCUGUAGAGGCGGGUGGAAUUCCGGGUGUAGCGGUGGAAUGCGUAGAGAUCCGGAAGAACACCAGUGGCGAAGGCAGCGAAUUGGCGCUAUAUUGACGCUCAGGCACGAAAGCAUGGGGAUCAAACAGG